GUGAAUACGUUCUCGGGUCUUGUACACACCGCCCGUCACACCACGAGAGUUGGUUGCACCUGAAGUAGCAGGCCUAACCGUAAGGAGGGAUGCUCCGAGGGUGUGAUUAGCGAUUGGGGUGAAGUCGUAACAAGGUAUCCGUACGGGAACGUGCGGAUGGAUCACCUCCUUUCUAAGGAGA
rnacentral:rRNA from 1 species